rnacentral:rRNA from 1 species
AGCUCCAGUAGCGUGUAUUAAAGUUGUUGCAGUUAAAAAGCUCGUAGUUGAAUUUCUGGUUGUGUGGUGAUUGGUCCACUUUUUGAUUGGGUUUUACCUGAGAUGAAGUCGAGUACUGAUUUUUGCCACUGCCAAAAGCUGUGUGUGUUUUCUCCUCGUGGGAAGAUGUGCAUCAUUUACUUUGAAAAAAUUAGAGUGUUUAAAGCAGCCUUAUUUAAAAAAUAGGCAUUGAAUACAUUAGCAUGGAAUAACAAGAUAGAACUCUGGUUUUAUUUUUGUUGGUUUGUUUUGAUUGACUAGAGUAAUGAUUGAUAAGGUCGGUUGGGGGUGCUUGUAUUUUUUGGUAAGAGGUGAAAUUCGUGGAUCCAGAAAAGACAGACUAAUGCGAAAGCAUUCACCA